GAGACUCUGUGCGCGUGCAUAUCAAUAAGCGGAGGAAAAGAAACUAACAAGGAUUCCCUUAGUAACGGCGAGUGAAGCGGGAAGAGCUCAAAUUUGAAAUCUUCAAGGUUUUACCUUGACGAAUUGUAGUUUAAAGAAGUGUUUUCUGUUGAAGUUUUGGUAAAAGUUCUUUGGAAUAGGACAUCAUAGAGGGUGAGAAUCCCGUAUUUGACCAUUAUUUUCAGCUGUGUGAUACACUUUCAAAGAGUCGGAUUGUUUGGGAAUGCAGUCCAAAAUGGGUGGUAAAUUUCAUCUAAAGCUAAAUAUUGGCGAGAGACCGAUAGCGAACAAGUGCCGUGAGGGAAAGAUGAAAAGAACUUUGAAAAGAGAGUUAAACAGUACGUGAAAUUGUCAAAAGGGAAGCGUUUGACACCAGUGUUGUUUUCUCGAAAAUCAAUUAAAAAAGGCCGGAUUUUGUGUUGUAUUGACCUUAAAAGCUUUCUUCACUCUUUUCUUGUCUUUUUUAAUGCACUUUUCGUUUAACAAGUCAACAUCAGUUUCUUUUGUUGUAAAAGAGGUCAUUGGAAGGUGGCUUUCUUUUCGGAGAAAGUGUUUAUAGCCUUUGAUCUUCUGCAAUCGGAGAGAUUGAGGUCUGCAGCGUAGAUCCUUCGGGGUUAGAUACAUUUGUGCUAAGCUAUAGCCUUUUCAUAGACAACUUGUUGACUAUGAUCAGUCAUGUAGGCUUACUCGCUUAUGCUAUUUUACCUACGCUUAGGAUGUUGAACUCUAUCACACACAG
rnacentral:rRNA from 1 species